rnacentral:rRNA from 1 species
CCUACGGGGGGCUGCAGUGGGGAAUAUUGGGCAAUGGACGCAAGUCUGACCCAGCAACGCCGCGUGAAGGAAGAAGGCUUUCGGGUUGUAAACUUCUUUUAAGGGGGAAGAGCAGAAGACGGUACCCCUUGAAUAAGCCUCGGCUAACUACGUGCCAGCAGCCGCGGUAAUACGUAGGAGGCAAGCGUUAUCCGGAAUGACUGGGCGUAAAGGGUGCGUAGGUGGUUUGACAAGUUGGUAGCGUAACUCCGGAGCUCAACUUCGGAACUACUACCAAAACUGUUGGACUCGAGUGCAGGAGGGGCAACUGGAAUUUCUAGUGUAGCGGUGGAAUGCGUAGAUAUUAGGAAGAACACCGGUGGCGAAGGCGAGUUGCUGGACUGUAACUGACACUGAGGCACGAAAGCGUGGGGAGCAAACAGGAUUAGAUACCCCAGUAGUC